CACUGCUCAUCUUCAGACACGAUGCCCACCAUAUACCUGCUUGCCUGGGACAAAGGCAUUAAGCUCUUGUCCCCCCCUUUCCCCAGCAUCCUACCUCCGAUCCAGCCAAACCUAAAGCUGCCUGCGAAGUGAACAAAACUCGGCCUCUUCUCCCUGGUCUGCAGCUUCUGCCAUAGCCCAGACCCCUAGGCUGUAGCAAUGGUUUCCCCUCCGCCCCCCAUGAUUUAAUCCCUUGUAGCAGCCAGACAAAUGUUUUAGAAUGUCAGCUAGUACCAUGCCUUAUCUUCCUGUCUCACUUAGAAAAGUCCAGAGUUGUUCCUACCAACCUGCAUGCUGACCAUGCGCCAGCCCUCUAGCCUGGUGUCCUCCGGCGCACCUUGAGUCUGGCACAUUGCUGCCACAGGGGCCCUGUAUGCUGCGCCCUCUGCCAGGAAGGAGCCUCCCCCCACCCUCAGUCUUGCCCCUCACUUUUUUCAGAACUGGGCUAGAAAGGCAGGUCCUCAGAGCCCCUUCCUGAGUGCCCACACCCAUCACUCCCGCCCCAUGCCCUGGGUUAACUUUCUCACAGCAUGUGGCAGUGACACUUCCCCUAGGACGCUAGCUCCCUGCAGAUAGGGCCCUCCUGUCUGUCCACCACUGGAUCCCUAGUUCCUAGAACAGGGCCUGAGAUUGUGAACCACCUUUUGCUGGAUAACAGCU
rnacentral:lncRNA from 1 species